GCUGUCGUGCUGCCGGCGGCGUUCACGACCACGACAUGCUGCUGGAGCGCACCUCACCAAUCUCAUGCUCCCGGUGAUGGUCUCUACUCCUCCAGUCCUCCUAGAAGUAUAUUUCCUGGAAUUUGUUCUUUCAUUUUUGUGAUGUAGUAGUACCGGAAUCGUGCAUGUAUAAUGGAAAUCGCUAUGUGCAUAGGCAGUGGAUGCAUAGGAAACGAAUAGUCUCAUUUUGCUCUAAAAAUGUGCAGCAACUCUCACAUUAAUUUGCUCCAUAUCCGUGGUGUAUAUUGAAUUUUCAAGUUCUUUUGUUGCUCCUGUAUUUGGUGUAUCUAUCAGUGGUUAUUGGAUCAAGAGGCUCCCUGGUUAGGAACAAGCAUUGCUGCGACAAUAUCACUGUAUAAUCCUAAUACUGGAAUACUGACUGAUUGAUCAAUUUAAUAACCCAUUGGUUAGGAUUAUGCUAUGCUGGUAGUAGCAGGAUUUACAUUUAACUAUGCUGGUAGUAGCUACUGACUUAAGUUUGGUAGAAUAAAUACUGCUAGUUACUGACUUUAGAAAAUACCCUUUAUGUUAUUUCCCUUGCUGUCUCAUGUAUUUACUUAUGUGGUCUUCAGUUCAUGCAUUUACUCAUGUGAAGGCAAAUAAAAUUAUGCCAUUAUCUAAAGUCCAGAUAGAAUAUUGUUGCUUAUUUAAUUCUGGAGUACUUUUCUUACCUCUGUAAAGUGGGAUAAGUUGCAUAGUUGUUUGAUAAUAAUUUAUUUUCCGGGUCUGAUAAUCAGUAAAUUCCUAUGGAUUGCAGUAUGGAUGUGCAUCGUUUCAAACUUUUUAAAACCUCCAAGGCUUUGUUUAUAAUCUGCAUCCCAACUUAAUUAUGAUGCUCCCUGUGUAUUUCACACCAUGUAGCUUGCUAAUUAUCUUGCAAUUUUUAACCAGUCUGGUUGGAGGCUAAAGGACAAUUUACUUGUGGGUUAUUAAUUAUUACCAUCACAUCAAAUAUCAAUCACAUGAUCAAAUGUCAAUUCAAGAUUUACUAUACAUGAUUGUCUUCUUUUCUGUACAGUGCAAGUAGUGUCCUUAUUUCAAGAUUUACUAUGUGCGGCUACUCUUAUCCUUGAUGCGUGAUCUGAUUGCUUGGUAUCACUUAACUGUGUCCACAUAAUUACGUGAAGUGCAUAAUUUUGUACUGCAUUCUUGAUGGAAUGGACAAAUUGGAUGCCAUAACUACACCAGAUUCUGCAAGUACUAACUAAUUAUUUAUCUACUUUGAUUGUUUUGCUGCUCAUAUAGUUGAUUUUUGUGCAUGGUGUAGCACCUAGUUUCACGACGGAUAGUUUAUAUGCUUGGCCUUGGUCAGCCGUAAUAAUAGUGACUGAGCUGAACACACCAGUCCAUCUGUAUUUGUAUAUCCCCAGUUGCAGUAUCUGACUCGCUCGCUAACAUCAUUUGUUUCUUGACAAGUUGUGCUACAGCUCGGGAAUCGGGAUCAUGAAGACCUGACCAUAGAUCUACUGUUCACUAUUGUGGCUCACAGCUCAGGUGUAUUUACUAGGUCUAGCUAUUUAUCUGCUGACUGGGUAUGUUCAGUAUCCAUUUGUCAAGUUAGGAUGAUCAUGUUAUCAUGAUUUUUAAAUUUGUAUGCCUGAUAAGCCAAGGUUGUAAUAAACUACAGAUCUAGCUGCAGUUUUAGAUGUUUAAAAUGAAUGUUCCUGUGAAUGCUAAAGAUAUAGCAUGAAAAAUCCUGAUUGUAUUCUGGUCAUGAGUCAGCACUCCUAAAUCCUAGUAAUAUUCAGUUUGAAUGCAUCAUUUGCUUGGUAUUGUUUUAUACAACUGCCUUUUUGAGAUACUUAAUUAUAUAUGAGGAUGAAUUAUGUUCAAGAGAAGUUUUGAUAAAUUAUUUUGCCUAUUCUGAUGCUAAUAGAUGUCGUCUUGUUGCAUUGAUCUAGGUUUCAUCAAGGUAGUAAUAAUGAGGCCAGCUGCUCUGUAUUUUUCUUUUGUGAAGAUGGUUGAAGGGCGACAGUGGACUGUUCAUACUGUUAUUUUGUUAGCUGAGUGUACCAAAUGGCACGGCCUAGUCCUGUCUAUUGUUGUCUAAUGAGUGUUGCAUAGCCAUUACUGAACCAUUGUUGAGAGAGCAUGCGCAAAGCUCAGAUCCAAAGCAGCCGAUGGUCUCCGGGAAAUGGUGAAUUGCUUGAGGUCCUAUAGCUUGUGCUGGAGGAAGCCUACAUGUGGGUCUUGGGCGUCCCUUUGGCUGCAGUUGUCCAGUGUUGCCGCUUACAGAGUUUUGGACAUGGUCAAUGAGUUGCAGGACAUGAGGUCAGAGGUGAAUUGCUCAAAUGGUGACAAUGAUGCUGCCCAAAUUUGGCAUCAUGUAGAAUGCCAUCAAGAUGAAGUUGAACACCGAACUAGUGAUGAAUACAGGACCAGAUUCCGAAGAGGCGUUGGUUAUUGGGAGGGGAGAUAAAUACAGGACAAUGGACGUGCUACUAUCUUCUGCGAGCAACAUCAGAGAAGGGCUGCCCAGCUGCAUCAUUCUGCCCAUCUUUGGGCUUGCACUCAGCCGCAAGAUAUGACACGUGAAAUCCUGCUCAGCAAAAACAAUAUUAGUAUUUAUAUUAUAUGAUGUAACGUGAAACUUGUCUUGCUGUUAUUUGAAGCAUCAUGUGUGGUUUUGUAGCUGUUAUUUGAAGUAUUAUGUGCGUUUUCUA